rnacentral:rRNA from 1 species
UACAGAGGUGGCAAGCGUUGUUCGGAAUUACUGGGCGUAAAGGGCGCGUAGGCGGCUUUUUAAGUCAGACGUGAAAUCCCCCGGCUUAACCUGGGAACUGCGUCUGAUACUGGGAAGCUUGAGUUCGGGAGAGGGAUGUAGAAUUCCAGGUGUAGCGGUGAAAUGCGUAGAUAUCGCUUGGAACGCCAACGGUGAAAACAGGUUGCUGGGGGUGUGCUGACGCUGAGACACGAAAGCCAGGGGAGCGAACGGG